UAAACGGCUCUUUUUAGAGCCACCCUAUUUUUUAAGAGGCCUAAUG
rfam:Ciona savignyi cont_2306, whole genome shotgun sequence.